rnacentral:rRNA from 1 species
UCCCAGACUCCUACGGGAGGCAGCAGUGGGGGAUAUUGCACAAUGGGGGGAACCCUGAUGCAGCGACGCCGCGUGGGUGAAGGAGCACCUCGGUGCGUAAAGCCCUAUCGGCAGGGAAGAAACAGACGGUACCUGACUAAGAAGCCCCGGCUAACUACGUGCCAGCAGCCGCGGUAAUACGUAGGGGGCAAGCGUUAUCCGGAUUUACUGGGUGUAAAGGGAGCGUAGACGGCUGGUCAAGUCUGAAGUGAAAGCCCGGGGCUUAACCCCGGAACGGCUUUGGAAACUGAGCAGCUAGAGUGCUGGAGAGGUAAGCGGAAUUCCCAGUGUAGCGGUGAAAUGCGUAGAUAUUAGGAGGAACACCAGUGGCGAAGGCGGCUUACUGGACAGUAACUGACGUUGAGGCUCGAAAGCGUGGGGAGCAAACAGGAUUAGAUACCCCGGUAAG